GGAAAUAUUACGCAAAAUGUAGAGAGGCAAUCAUCGAGAGAACCAGGAGACAUCACGCAAAUUGUGGAGAGGCAAUCAUCGAGAGAACCAGACGCAGCCAAGAAACAAACUCCAGUUGGAGCCAACAUUCAAUACAUUAGCCUUGCCCUUCUCCUUUUCUUCAUGCUUUACAUUGUAAGAAGACACAGAGUUUGUAGGUGAGUUCGGAGACUGAGAGUGGAUUAUCCCUUCAGCGAGAAUUGAAUUCAUCAAAGAGCAAUCCCACUAUGUUAUAAAUGAAGAUCAGAGCUUUGGAAUCACAGACUGUUACAAUAUGGAAGCAAUUUUCACAUUUCGCCUCUGUUCUUUUACCCUUUUAAGAACCAAGCCUUUUCAUUCAUGUUGCCUCUUCCAACUACAAUGGGGCAUUUACUUGAGACUUUAGAGAUACACCGCUGGAAGAAUCUAUCUUGCUUUUUUAUAACACCCAAAAUAAAAAAGCAGACAACUUGCUGUCCAACAACACUGUUGGAGUCUGUGUGGGAGUACGGAGGCAGAACACUCGCAUAUUUUCUGGAACUGUGUAAAGAUAAGGCCAUACUGGAAAAAUGUUAAUGCAGCUGUAAAAAAUAUCUUGGGUUAUAAAAUCCCAAGUACCUGCCCUGUGAUGUAUCUGGGGUGUAUUAAAGAUAUUGUAAAAAUAGAAGAUACAUAUUUAAAUAAAGUUUUGCUUGCAGCAAGUAAGAAGGCCAUUACCAGGCAGUGGCUUAAUGAAAAAAGUCCAAAACAGGAACAGUGGUUAGAAAUUGUGCGAGAUCUUUAAUAUGGAGAAAUUGACACAUUCUUUGAGUCAAAGAGAAGUUAUUUGAGAAGAUCUGGGAAAAAUGGACUGUUUAUUUGAGCCAUGACACCAAUUAGAUAAAUGCCGAGCUAGAUAUGGGAAGAUUGCGUUAUAUAGAACUAGAUGGUAUGUUUGUAUGAAUAUUGAAUUAUCUCCAGAUAACUAAUCAAUGUCAUGUUUUUUCUUUUUUUUAAUUUGGUAAGUGAAC